CUAAGUGAACCAGGGCAUUCACCGUUUAUAUUGGCUGUGCAUUGAAUUCCAUGACAUUUUCCAGGUCCAGGCUUAGUUGGCCCAAAAGACAUAGGGAUGUUAAAUCCAUCAAUUACAGAAAUAUCCCAGAAAUCUAGGUUACCAAACUGGUUCAAAGCGUAUUCAGCUAAGGUGUUUGGCGGUUUACCCCAUCCUUUGCAAUCUAGGACUCCACCACAAUCACCGGUCUGGCACCCACCUCUACCAGCACCAUCAAAGUUGCAAUUAGUACGACCCCAUAUACGUGCCAUUUUAGUGCCCGGUGGGGCCCAAAACCACCAACUCUGACCUCUCUCGAGACGUCGGCCACCUCCUACGGGGACCGCCGCCGCCCAAACGGUGUAGGGGCAGUUGUUAUGGACCUCAAACACACCGGAAGCAUAAGUGUAAGUCACAAAAGCAAGAAGGAAGAACACUAAACAAGUUGUCAAAUGACUCAUUUUAGUAUAAGAAGUUGUUUGGAUAUAUUUGCAUAUCGAGCUAGGGGUUUAUAUAGUGGUAUGGCGGCUUUUUUCACUAUGGACAUUAAUCAUAUAAUAUUACUAUUAAUAUAUAUAAAGAAAUAAUCUUAAAAGGUGCUCUGCCACUUUAGUUAUAAAGGUAGAGUAUAUAUAAUUAUAUAUGUAGAAUGUACAUUAUAUAGAAAAGAAAAAUUAUUUGUAGCCAAAAUAUCUCCACUUGAAACAAAAAGCCGCCAAUACAAUAUGAGUACAGCCUAUUAUAAGCAAUAUAUUUUGUUCACUCCAGUCAUAUUUCACCGUUCAACUAUUUGCUACUUUGAAAAUUUAUCCAUAACACAUUAUGAUAUUAUUAGUUUAGUGUUUAACUAUAUAUAAAUUUAAAUUAUUUAGUUUAGUAUAAACAACGAAUGUGGGAACCAACUCACGAGAAAAUGCAUGGUGAAAAAACUAAAAUAGUGGGAAGCUUUCUAAUUAUUCCAUACGAAACAUUUACUAUUUUUUUUUCGUUUCAUACUCGAUUCAAUCAAAAUACCAGUGAGAAUAGCCACUGAAUAUUUUUCCACGAGAAAUGCAGUGGCAAAAUAGUAAUAACUUUAUAAUUACCGUAGUAGAGAAUUCUCUUCAUUCUUAAUUGGUUAUGUUUUCAUAAAUAAAUAACUUAAAAUUUUUGAAUUUGUAGUUUGUAAUUUAUUUACAGAUCACAAUUGCCUUUUUUCCCCUUGAUCUUUUUCCCGUCCUAUAUAUAUAAAAUGGAUUUUUAUAUUUAAUUAUUUAUAGCAUAUUUAUCAAGUGGACAUAAUAAUUAAUUGAAAAUGUAGUCAAAAUUGAGCAAAUGGGGUAGGCGUAGAGGUGAGUGCUGAGUGGGAUCUUAAAAGUUGAAUUUUUUUUCGACACAAGUGUCUGCUAUAGUGUGCAAGAAGCUAUAUAGAGAACUUGUUUCACACGAGAAAAAAAUAACUGAAAUGAGUUACAAACUUCGUUGUUAAUCUAGCUCAUGGAUAUCUAACAUGCAAAGUUCAUGAUAAUUUAUCGCUAAUUGGUUACUAGAUAUAGGACUAGCGAUGAUUUUUGUUAUUUAAUUACAUAAUUUGUUUGAUACUAAUUUUUGUUUUAUUUUACUUUUCCGAUUUUCCUCAUUGUCAUCAUGGUUGUCUUUGUUGUUGGUUCAUAAUAAGAGACUCUUGCGUUUAGAUGAGAUGAUUAUAUAUAUGAAUUUAAAUUCGAGCGUGCAAGAGUUUCAGGAAUUGAGUUUGUUGGUUAUUAAGCAUUUUAAUAUUAUUUUAUAUUAAAGUAGCUUUUUAUUUGUGACUUAAUGCUGCCUAACCAUUUUAUUGGUCAUGUUAAUGCCAAUUAUUCUUGGCUUUAUUGGCAGAUGUCAUAUAUCCUAUAACGUUCCUUGUGGUCAACAUCUUGGGCAGCUUUGCAUUUGCACGUUAGAGGCAUUGGUUACCCCUCUCAUUAUUCCAUUCUUAAUUCCUCCGUUAUCCUUGUAACCUACGUAACUCCUUAGAUCAUUAUCUUCACUAUUUACUACACUAUUUAUCUUUCUAUUCAUUGCUAGAAAGACUUUUUCUAGUAUAAUAGUGGUGGUCUUCAUUUGGUUUGGGACACACUACACACAAGGAAAAUAUAGAGUGCCAUAAAAGUUUUGUCAAAAAGAGAGUUCUUGUUAGUUGAAGGGAGGUGUUCUUUUUGUGGAGCUUUGGACUCAACUCUUGUCCAGAGUUGCUGAGUUAUACUUUGUGAAGGCUGUUGUAUCCUGGAGGGGACAAGUCAAGAAGGAUUACUGCUGAACCGGUGAAAAACAUUUGCUGCAGUGGACUUGAAUCUCCUUAAAGAGAGCGAGAUAUCCGCGUCUCAGCCUGAAGAGAUUUAUUUCUUCAUUUCUAUUUUUAAUUGUAAUCUUGUAUUUUUGUUAUCUCGUAAGUUUUUCACUAACAAGUUUGAUCACUUUCUACCAUCCAUUUUAAAAGAGAUGAUAACACAUUCCAAUCAACAUGAAUAAAGAACUUUAAUUAAUUCUUUUACUUUUAACAGUUUUAAUAGAACUUUUUAAAGAAAUAUUGCAAAUACAUGAGUUUUUAAGCAAAAGGUUGAAACCACAAUUGUAUUUUUUUAUGAAGGAGAACUUGGAAAUAAUUAUUAAUUGUACUAAAAGAUCAAUUAUAUUAGUCCACCUGGAGGCUGGACAGCAAUUGUGAAGAAGACAAAGAAUACGAAUAGUCAUGAAAUUACUGUUUGAUUGAUCUCCUAAUUAUUGAUGCCGAUUAUAAAAAUAAAAGUCGAUCAAUAUUCAAAUAAUGUUGAAUUUCUUAUCUAGGUGUUGAAUCGGAGUUAAAAGUGAAAGCUCUUUUUGCUAUUUCAAGUUAUGAAUUUAGAGAUCAAGAACGUCUUUUCAGAAAGAUUAGGUCAAACGAGUUAGUGAUUUUCAAAAAUCAUCUUUUGUAUUAUUGUAUAUGGACUCAUUCAUUGAUAAAUUUAUCUUAAUGUUCCGAUCUUUAAGCUUUUUAAUUAAUAUUGAAUUUAUUAUAUCUUUAAACUUAUAAAUUUAAAUCUAACAUAGAUUAAGAUUUUAGAAUGAAUUUUCAUAUACUAUAGUACACUUGAAAAUGUUCCAAAAGCCGCCAAUAAAAAAAUAUUUCCAUCUGUUUGACUUUUUUAUGACAUGUGCUCCUGAUUAGUAUAAGUAUAUUUUGUCCCUACAAUUUUAUAUUUUCAGAUCUAGGUACUUUAGAAUAUUAUCUAGACUAUUUUUUUAUUUAUUAAAAUUAGAAUUAAAAAAAGAAACAAUACUCCAAAUACACUCUUAAUUGAAAAUUAAAAUAUCAUGUGUAAGACAAAGUACAAUAUAUGAUCAAUAGAUCAAUAUUCAGAUCUUAGCCACUUCAAGCAAACAAAUGUAAAAAGAAAUGUGUAAAACAAAUUAAUUAAAGACGAUGUCCAACUUCAAUCAAAUUUAACAAAAAAGAGAUUGGUUCAACUCAAGAUUUAUACUUAAUUAAGCCACUUCAAGAGUACUUGUAGGCAUCUCCAAUGGGAAAUUUGUUGUUUCAUUGUGAGUAGAGCCAUAAGGACAAAACAUAACCUUGUAGUCUGUAGUCCAACUUUGGCAAGUAAAUGUACUUGUUGGAUCAUCUUGAGGGUAACUAUAGGCAUCGGGACAUCUUUGUUUGAAAAAUCUUGACAAAUCGGUAGGACCACAUGGACCUUGGGUGCAACAAUAUUGUUGUCCUCCGAAUGUGGUACAAGGGUUGUUACAUCCUCCGGGUACCCUAAGUGAACCAGGGCAUUCACCAUUUAUAUUGGCAACACAUUGAAUUGGAUGACAUUUUCCCGGCCCAGGGUUAGUUGGGCCGAAAGACAUAGGGAUGUUGAAUCCAUCAAUAACAGAAAUGUCCCAGAAAUCUAAGUUGCUAAAUUGAUUCAAAGCAUACUCAGCUAAGGUGUUUGGUGGUUUACCCCAUCCUUUGCAUUCUAGGACUCCACCACAAUCACCAGUCUGGCACCAACCUCUACCAGCACCAUCGAAGUUGCAAUUAGUACGACCCCAAAUACGUGCCAUUUUAG
rnacentral:lncRNA from 1 species